CGGCGGGAGGGGUAGGAGACGUUGGUCCCGCUCGGCGCUCCGCAGUCGCCGCAGCCGCUGCAGCGUCGGGACCGGGACAAGCGAAGCCCGCAGAGGAGCUGCCGCCGCCGGGUCCUUUCGGCGCGGGGCACCCGGAGCGGCGCCGAGACCCGCUUCAGCACCGCGGACAGAGCCAGCCGCCUGGAACAGAGCGCCCGGAACCCACGCGCACCCGGGACCGCCCGGCCGGCCGAAGGCUCGGUGCCACCUGCUCGGUGCAGACAUCCCAGGACUAAGGCUCCCGGGGAAGACGUGGCGCCCUCAGCCCGCGGGAUCGGGCGCGCGCAGGACGGCCGGGGCGUCCCUCUGGGGAUGCGCCGAGGGCCCCGCGUUCGCGCUGCCCAGAGCCAGGGCGCUGCCCGGAGCCCAUGAGCACCAUGCGCCUGCUGACACUCGCCCUGCUUUUCUCCUGCUCCUUCGCCCGUGCCGCCUGCGACCCCAAGAUCGUCAACAUCGGCGCGGUGCUGAGCACGCGGAAGCACGAGCAGAUGUUCCGCGAGGCUGUGAACCAGGCCAACAAGCGGCAUGGCUCCUGGAAGAUCCAGCUCAAUGCCACCUCCGUCACCCACAAGCCCAACGCCAUCCAGAUGGCCUUGUCGGUGUGCGAAGACCUCAUCUCCAGCCAGGUCUACGCCAUCCUGGUUAGCCACCCACCUACCCCCAACGACCACUUCACUCCCACCCCCGUCUCCUACACAGCCGGCUUCUACCGCAUCCCCGUCCUGGGGCUGACCACCCGCAUGUCCAUCUACUCAGACAAGAGCAUCCACCUGAGCUUCCUGCGCACCGUGCCGCCCUACUCCCACCAGUCGAGCGUCUGGUUCGAGAUGAUGCGCGUCUACAGCUGGAACCACAUCAUCCUCCUGGUCAGCGACGACCACGAGGGCCGGGCGGCGCAGAAGCGCCUGGAGACACUGCUGGAGGAGCGCGAGUCCAAGAGUAAAAAAAGGAACUAUGAAAACCUCGACCAACUGUCCUAUGACAACAAGCGCGGACCCAAGGCCGAGAAAGUGCUGCAGUUCGACCCGGGGACCAAGAACGUGACGGCCCUGCUGAUGGAGGCGCGGGAACUGGAGGCUCGGGUCAUCGUCCUCUCUGCCAGCGAGGACGACGCUGCCACCGUGUACCGCGCAGCCGCAAUGCUGAACAUGACCGGCUCGGGGUACGUGUGGCUGGUGGGGGAGCGCGAGAUCUCGGGGAACGCCCUGCGCUACGCCCCAGACGGCAUCAUCGGGCUGCAGCUCAUCAACGGCAAGAACGAGUCGGCCCACAUCAGCGAUGCCGUCGGGGUGGUGGCCCAGGCCGUGCACGAGCUUCUCGAGAAGGAGAACAUCACCGACCCGCCGCGGGGCUGCGUGGGCAACACCAACAUCUGGAAGACCGGGCCGCUCUUCAAGAGAGUGCUCAUGUCUUCCAAGUACGCAGACGGCGUGACCGGCCGCGUGGAAUUCAACGAGGAUGGGGACCGGAAGUUUGCCAACUACAGCAUCAUGAACCUGCAGAACCGCAAGCUGGUACAAGUGGGCAUCUACAAUGGCACCCAUGUCAUUCCCAACGACAGGAAAAUCAUCUGGCCAGGUGGAGAGACAGAGAAGCCCCGAGGUUACCAGAUGUCCACCAGGCUGAAGAUCGUGACGAUCCACCAGGAGCCCUUCGUGUACGUCAAGCCCACGCUGAGCGACGGCACGUGCAAGGAGGAGUUCACCGUGAACGGGGAUCCGGUGAAGAAGGUGAUCUGCACCGGGCCCAACGACACGUCGCCGGGCAGCCCACGCCACACCGUGCCUCAGUGCUGCUACGGCUUCUGCAUCGACCUACUCAUCAAACUGGCGCGGACCAUGAACUUCACUUAUGAGGUGCACCUAGUGGCGGACGGCAAGUUCGGCACGCAGGAGCGGGUGAACAACAGCAAUAAGAAGGAGUGGAACGGGAUGAUGGGCGAGCUGCUCAGCGGGCAGGCGGACAUGAUCGUGGCGCCGCUGACCAUCAACAACGAGCGCGCACAGUACAUCGAGUUCUCCAAGCCCUUCAAGUACCAGGGCCUGACCAUUCUGGUCAAGAAGGAGAUCCCCCGGAGCACGCUGGACUCGUUCAUGCAGCCCUUCCAGAGCACGCUCUGGCUGCUGGUGGGGCUGUCAGUGCACGUGGUGGCCGUGAUGCUGUACCUGCUGGACCGCUUCAGCCCCUUUGGCCGGUUCAAAGUGAACAGCGAGGAGGAGGAGGAGGACGCGCUGACCCUGUCCUCGGCCAUGUGGUUCUCCUGGGGCGUCCUGCUCAACUCGGGCAUCGGGGAAGGCGCCCCCAGGAGCUUCUCGGCGCGCAUCCUGGGCAUGGUGUGGGCCGGCUUCGCCAUGAUCAUCGUGGCCUCCUACACUGCCAACCUGGCGGCCUUCCUGGUGCUGGACCGGCCCGAGGAGCGCAUCACCGGCAUCAACGACCCCCGACUGAGGAAUCCUUCGGACAAGUUCAUCUACGCGACGGUGAAGCAGAGCUCCGUGGACAUCUACUUCCGGCGGCAGGUGGAGCUGAGCACCAUGUACCGGCACAUGGAGAAGCACAACUACGAGAGCGCGGCCGAGGCCAUCCAGGCCGUGCGGGACAACAAGCUGCAUGCCUUCAUCUGGGACUCGGCGGUGCUGGAGUUCGAGGCCUCGCAGAAGUGCGACCUGGUGACCACCGGCGAGCUGUUCUUCCGCUCAGGCUUUGGCAUCGGCAUGCGCAAGGACAGUCCCUGGAAGCAGAACGUCUCCCUGUCCAUCCUCAAGUCCCACGAGAACGGCUUCAUGGAAGACCUGGACAAGACGUGGGUGCGGUACCAGGAGUGUGAUUCGCGCAGCAACGCCCCUGCUACCCUCACCUUCGAGAACAUGGCAGGGGUCUUCAUGCUGGUGGCCGGGGGCAUCGUGGCUGGGAUCUUCCUGAUCUUCAUCGAGAUCGCCUACAAGCGGCACAAGGAUGCCCGCCGGAAGCAGAUGCAGCUAGCCUUCGCAGCGGUGAAUGUGUGGAGAAAGAACUUGCAGGAUAGAAAGAGUGGUAGAGCAGAGCCUGACCCUAAAAAGAAAGCCACAUUUAGGGCUAUCACCUCCACCCUGGCUUCCAGCUUCAAGAGACGUAGGUCCUCCAAAGACACGAGCACCGGGGGUGGACGCGGCGCUUUGCAAAACCAAAAAGACACAGUGCUGCCGCGACGCGCUAUUGAGAGGGAGGAGGGCCAGCUGCAGAUGUGUGCCCGUCAUAGGGAGAGCUGAGACGCCCUGCCCGCCCUCCUCUGCCCCCCUCCCCCGCAGACAGACAGACAGACGGACGGGACAGCGGCCCGGCCCACGCAGAGUCCCGGAGCACGACGGGCAGUACCAUCCCACUGAUAUCACGGGCCCGCUCAACCUCUCAGAUCCCUCGGUCAGCACCGUGGUGUGAGGCCCCCGGAGGCGCCCACCUGC